AUGUUCUAGAAGAGUUUGAUGAGGGGAAGCGGAGCUGUCGUAGGCGUUUAGCUGGUCAUAACAAACGAAGAAGGAAAACACAUCCAGAAAAUGUAGCUAAUGGAGCCUCCGUGAAUGAUGAGGGGGGUAGCAACUACUUAUUAAUUAGUCUGCUGAGGAUACUGGCCAAUGUACAGUUCAAUAGCUCGGAUCAAACUAAAGACCAGGAUCUGUUGUCACAUCUGCUAAGAAACUUAGCUAGUCUGGCUGGUGCAGCUAAUGAGAGGAACGCAUCGGGCUUGUUGCCUGCACCUUCAGAUCUGCAAAACCCAGGGACAUCUAUGGAGGCUCCAAAAGAGGACUCUCUUAGGCCUAAUGCGAAUUGUUUGACUAUACCUGCAUCAGAAGUGAAAGAGAAGAGAAUGGACAGGGGCACGAGCGAUGCUGAACGUGGAAUUUCACAAAAUCUUUGUGCUUUACGGCCUGAGACUCUGUGUUGUAGAAAAGAGAGCUUACCUAUCAAUGCAAAUGCCUCAGUCACCACAUCUGCACCGUUGAAGCUAAAUAUCGAUUUGAAUAACAUCUAUGAUGAUUCUCAAGGUGGCAUUCAAAAGUUGCAGAAUUCUGAUGUCUUUGUAAACCCAGGGGCUGCAUCUUCUGGCUGUCCUCUAUGGAUAAGUCAUGACCCUCAUAAGUCAAGCUCCACAAGAACAAGUUUGAACUCAGGAUCCACCUCAUCCCUUUCACCAUCUAGUUCAAGUGGAGAGGCUCAGAGUCGAACGGAUCGUAUUGUCUUUAAACUUUUUGGGAAAGAUCCUGGUGAAAUUCCCACAGGCUUGCGGAAGCAGGUUCUUGAUUGGCUAUCACACAGUCCUACAGAUAUUGAAAGCUAUAUUAGACCUGGUUGUAUCAUACUAACAAUAUAUCUUCGGAUGGAUAAACCCAUAUGGGAGGAGCUUUAUUCUGAUCUUAACUCUAGUUUGAGGAAACUUCUUAAUGCAUCCGCUGGUUCAUUUUGGCGAACUGGAUGGGUUUAUUCUAGGGUGAAGGAUCGAGUGGCAUUUUUGUUUAAUGGGCAGGUUGUUCUGGACACUCCCUUGCCAAGCCAUAGAAGCUGUGGGAUAUCAAUCAUCAAACCUAUUGCAGUUUGUGCCUCUGAAAGAGUUCAAUUUUUGGUCAAAGGCUUCAACCUAUCUCGUCCCACUACAAGGUUUCUAUGUGCCAUGGAAGGAAAAUAUCUAGUUCAGGGGAAUUGUACUGAUGUGAUGGUAGGAGCUGAUUCUUGUAUGGACUAUAAUGAGAUCCAGUCUCUUAGUUUUCCUUGUACUGUGCCA
rnacentral:misc_RNA from 1 species